UGGCUCAGGACGAACGCUGGCGGCGCGCCUAACACAUGCAAGUCGAACGGAGUAUUGAGAGCUUGCUUUUAAUGCUUAGUGGCGAACGGGUGAGUAACGCGUGAGCAAUCUGCCUCAGAGUGGGGGACAACAGUUGGAAACGACUGCUAAUACCGCAUAAGCCCACAGUGCCGCAUGGCACAGCGGGAAAAGAUUUAUCGCUUUGAGAUGAGCUCGCGUCUGAUUAGCUAGUUGGUGAGGUAACGGCCCACCAAGGCAACGAUCAGUAGCCGGACUGAGAGGUUGAACGGCCACAUUGGGACUGAGACACGGCCCAGACUCCUACGGGAGGCAGCAGUGGGGAAUAUUGCACAAUGGGGGAAACCCUGAUGCAGCGACGCCGCGUGGAGGAAGAAGGUCUUCGGAUUGUAAACUCCUGUUGUUAGGGACGAUAAUGACGGUACCUAACAAGGAAGUGACGGCUAACUACGUGCCAGCAGCCGCGGUAAAACGUAGGUCACAAGCGUUGUCCGGAAUUACUGGGUGUAAAGGGAACGCAGGCGGGAGAGAAAGUUGGAAGUGAAAUCUACGGGCUCAACUCGUAAACUGCUUUCAAAACUUCUCUUCUUGAGUGGUGCAGAGGUAGGCGGAAUUCCCGGUGUAGCGGUGGAAUGCGUAGAUAUCGGGAGGAACACCAGUGGCGAAGGCGGCCUACUGGGCACUAACUGACGCUGAGGCUCGAAAGUGUGGGUAGCAAACAGGAUUAGAUACCCUGGUAGUCCACACCGUAAACGAUGAUUACUAGGUGUUGGAGGAUUGACCCCUUCAGUGCCGCAGUUAACACAAUAAGUAAUCCACCUGGGGAGUACGACCGCAAGGUUGAAACUCAAAGGAAUUGACGGGGGCCCGCACAAGCAGUGGAGUAUGUGGUUUAAUUCGACGCAACGCGAAGAACCUUACCAAGCCUUGACAUCCCGCGACGGACCCAGAAAUGGGAACUUCCUUCGGGACGCGGAGACAGGUGGUGCAUGGUUGUCGUCAGCUCGUGUCGUGAGAUGUUGGGUUAAGUCCCGCAACGAGCGCAACCCUUAUGCUUAGUUACUACGCAAGAGGACUCUAAGCAGACUGCCGUUGACAAAACGGAGGAAGGUGGGGAUGACGUCAAAUCAUCAUGCCCUUUAUGACUUGGGCUACACACGUACUACAAUGGUAGGUACAGAGGGCAGCUACACAGCGAUGUGGUGCGAAUCUCAAAAAGCCUAUCGUAGUCCAGAUUGGAGUCUGCAACUCGACUCCAUGAAGUAGGAAUCGCUAGUAAUCGCGGAUCAGAAUGCCGCGGUGAAUACGUUCCCGGGCCUUGUACUCACCGCCCGUA
rnacentral:rRNA from 1 species